rnacentral:lncRNA from 1 species
UUACAGUGUAAAUAUAAUUACUGUGACAUAGAUUUGCUUUGGUUCACUGAGCUGGCAAUGAGCAAGCUUUACAGCAUUGUAUCUUUUUGUUCUUGCUUAAAUUGCCUUUCUAGUAGGUGGUUGGAGCUAGAACCCAGACCACAGCUGCAGUCCCAAUGUGCUGUUGUAACAGUAUUAGCAUAUAAAGUAGAUAUCAUUGCAGAGUGCAGGGCUGAUUCCUACCGGCCCUAUGCGCUGUGAGUGUAGCGGGAAAGGUCCAUUUCAGUGUGCUUGGCACAGCAGGAACCUGCUGACUUGGCAGUACCUGCAGGAGACUCCGUGCUUUUCAGUGGUGGCUGCUCUACACUCCUGGAUUUUGCCGCCUUGCCAGCAGCACUGGGACCAGAACAAGCAGAGAAGUGUUUUCCAUGGAAAUCUUCUUUCCUAGAUUGAAUGACCCUUAUGCACUGUGUCUUUCCUGGUUGCACAGACAGGUCUGUACCAACAAGUGUUUCUCCUGAAGGAACCUAGAGCAUCUGGACAGGUCUGAGUGGGUCUGGUGUGGAAACGCAGUCCUGGGGAGCUCAGAUACAUGACAGUGCUUAUACAAGUAGUUAACCUAAGAAUAUUGACUACGCCUAUGCAUGUGUUUGCCCUAAUAGCACUGGUCUGAAUCCGAUAUACUUAUUGCCUCCAGAGGAGGCUGGCGGCCAUUUUGUCAGCCCAGAGCUGCUGCUGCAGCUAUGCAGCAGCUUCUUCACUGCUGGUUUCUCUCCAUGUAAACCUUCCUCCCUUACCACAUGUGCCCCCAGGCCCCUGUUUGCCACUCUUUGUCUUUUAGGGGGAAAAAGCCAAGUGUGGGAGGCUGGAUGUUGUUCCCUCUGCUGCCUGAGGGACCCUCUUGUGGCUUCCGGAAGGUUCCACAGAGCUUCCUGUCAGUGCCGUGGGACAGCCAGCGCCUCGCUUAUGACCUGUGGACGAGGGUGCUUCUGUGGCUGUCCAAAAAAAAAGGGAUAAAAAAAUGCUGGAAACAGCACAGCUGGAGAGCACGUAAUACUGCUGAAGAGAUGCAAAGAGAAGAUGCAGUUCUAUUAAGAGAUUUCAUGAGUACGCACAGCUAUGCAGGACAAAAGGACAACUUCUUCAUGAAAAGAAAUACUGUUGCUGGCUCAGACUUGGUGAGAGAAAGAGAUACGGAUACAUUGUAUAUCAGUGGAAGAAGACAUGAGAUUCUUCUCAUCAAAAGAAAAGAAAUUAAAGAAAACUCAUUGCAAAUGACGUUCUCAG